rnacentral:rRNA from 1 species
UGGGGAAUAUUGCACAAUGGGGGAAACCCUGAUGCAGCGACGCCGCGUGAACGAAGAAGGUAUUCGUAUCGUAAAGUUCUGUCCUAUGGAAGAUAAUGACAGUACCAUAGAAGAAAGCUCCGGCUAAAUACGUGCCAGCAGCCGCGGUAAUACGUAUGGAGCGAGCGUUGGCCGGAAUUAUUGGGCGUAAAGGGUACGCAGGCGGUUUAAUAAGUCGAAUGUUAAAGAUCGGGGCUCAACCCCGCAAAGCAUUGGAAACUGAUAAACUUGAGUAGUGGAGAGGAAAGUGGAAUUCCUAGUGUAGUGGUGAAAUACGUAGAUAUUAGGAGGAAUACCAGUAGCGAAGGCGACUUUCUGGACACAAACUGACGCUGAGGUACGAAAGCGUGGGGAGCAAACAGG